rnacentral:rRNA from 1 species
GAUGAACGCUAGCGGCAGGCCUAACACAUGCCAGUCGAGGGAGGAGCCUUCGGGCUUCGACCGGCGUACGGGUGCGUAACGCGUAUACAAUCUGCCUUUCACAUAGGGAUAGCCCGAAGAAAUUUGGAUUAAUACCUAAUGGUAUAUAGAUGUGGCAUCACCUUUAUAUUAAAGCUGAGGCGGUGAAAGAUGAGUAUGCGUUCUAUUAGCUAGUUGGAGAGGUAACGGCUCCCCAAGGCGACGAUAGAUAGGGGUUCUGAGAGGGAUAUCCCCCACACUGGUACUGAGAUACGGACCAGACUCCUACGGGAGGCAGCAGUGAGGAAUAUUGGACAAUGGUCGGAAGACUGAUCCAGCCAUGCCGCGUGCAGGAAGACGGCCUUAUGGGUGGUAAACUGCUUUUGCAGGGGAAGAAUAAGGACUACGCGUAGUUUGAUGACGGUACUCUGCGAAUAAGCAUCGGCUAACUCCGUG